AUUGAACGCUGGCGGCAUGCUUUACACAUGCAAGUCGAACGGUAACAGGCCUUCGGGCGCUGACGAGUGGCGAACGGGUGAGUAAUGCAUCGGAACGUGCCCAGUCGUGGGGGAUAACGCAGCGAAAGCUGUGCUAAUACCGCAUACGAUCUGCGGAUGAAAGCGGGGGACCUUCGGGCCUCGCGCGAUUGGAGCGGCCGAUGUCAGAUUAGGUAGUUGGUGGGGUAAAGGCCCACCAAGCCGACGAUCUGUAGCUGGUCUGAGAGGACGACCAGCCACACUGGGACUGAGACACGGCCCAGACUCCUACGGGAGGCAGCAGUGGGGAAUUUUGGACAAUGGGCGCAAGCCUGAUCCAGCAAUGCCGCGUGCAGGAAGAAGGCC
rnacentral:rRNA from 1 species